rnacentral:rRNA from 1 species
GACGAACGCUGGCGGCGUGCCUAAUACAUGCAAGUCGAACGCAGUGGGGACGGGUGCGUAACACGUUGGUAACCUCCCAUCAGAGGGGAUAACCCUUGGCAAAAGGUGCUCACCCGCUAUUGAUUGAUGGACCCGGGGUGCAUUCGCUAGUUGGUGAGGUAACGGCUCACCAAGGCAACUAUGCAUAGCCGAACUGAGAGGGUGACCGGCCACACUGGGAGUGAGACACGGCCCAGACUCCUACGGGAGGCAGCAGUAGGGAAUCUUCGGCAAUGGACGAAAGCCUGACCGAGCAACGCCGCGUGAGUGAAGAAGGUUUUCGGAUCGUAAAACUCUGUUGUUAGAGAAGCGGUAUCUAACCAGAAAGCCACGGCUAACUACGUGCCAGCAGCCGCGGUAAUUC